GAUGAACGCUGGCGGCGUGCCUAAUACAUGCAAGUCGAGCGAACAGACGAGGAGCUUGCUCCUCUGACGUUAGCGGCGGACGGGUGAGUAACGCGUGGAUAACCUACCUAUAAGACCGGGAUAACUUCGGGAAACCGGAGCUAAUACCGGAUAAUAUAUUGAACCGCAUGGUUCAAUAGUGAAAGACGGUUUUGCUGUCACUUAUAGAUGGAUCCGCGCCGCAUUAGCUAGUUGGUAAGGUAACGGCUUACCAAGGCGACGAUGCGUAGCCGACCUGAGAGGGUGAUCGGCCACACUGGAACUGAGACACGGUCCAGACUCCUACGGGAGGCAGCAGUAGGGAAUCUUCCGCAAAGGGCGAAAGCCUGACGGAGCAACGCCGCGUGAGUGAUGAAGGUCUUCGGAUCGUAAAACUCUGUUAUUAGGGAAGAACAAAUGUGUAAGUAACUAUGCACGUCUUGACGGUACCUAAUCAGAAAGCCACGGCUAACUACGUG
rnacentral:rRNA from 1 species